rfam:Pachysolen tannophilus NRRL Y-2460 unplaced genomic scaffold PACTA_scaffold_10, whole genome shotgun sequence.
GUAAAUAUAAUUUAAUCGGUUAAAAUCGAUGCUUGUGGUGCAUUUUAUCUGAGUUCAAUUCUCAGUAUUUACC